GCCCGGAUGGUCUAGAGGUAUGAUUCUCGCUUCGGGAUAGUUAAUACCUUAAAUGCGAGAGGUCCCGCGUUCGAAUCGCGGUUCGGGCC